rnacentral:rRNA from 1 species
AGACCCGAAACCCGGUGAUCUAGCCAUGGGCAGGUUGAAGGUUGGGUAACACUAACUGGAGGACCGAACCGACUAAUGUUGAAAAAUUAGCGGAUGACCUGUGGCUGGGGGUGAAAGGCCAAUCAAACCGGGAGAUAGCUGGUUCUCCCCGAAAGCUAUUUAGGUAGCGCCUCGUGAAUUCAUCUCCGGGGGUAGAGCACUGUUUCGGCUAGGGGGCCAUCCCGGCUUACCAACCCGAUGCAAACUGCGAAUACCGGAGAAUGUUAUCACGGGAGACACACGGCGGGUGCUAACGUCCGUCGUGAAGAGGGAAACAACCCAGACCGCCAGCUAAGGUCCCAAAGUCAUGGUUAAGUGGGAAACGAUGUGGGAAGGCCCAGACAGCCAGGAUGUUGGCUUAGAAGCAGCC